UUUNUAACGAGAANCNCNUCCCCUGGGNUAAAUCCUUGGNGAUCGUUCAGGAAAGGGAGUUCCUUUGGGGGCGCUAUGCAAGGUGCUGCAUGGCUGUCGUCAGCUCGUUCCGUGAGGUGUUGCGUUAAGUCCCGCAACGAGCGCAACCCUUGUGCUUAGUUCCCAGCAGGUAAGGGGGGGGAUUUUGGGCGGCCUCCGGGGGCAAGUCGGGAGGAAGGGGGGGNGGAGGCCAAUUCUUCAUGGCCCUAUGGUCCAGGGUUCCCCNCNUGUUCCAAUGGAUGGUNCAGGGAAGCCACCCGGCGNGGGGAGGCAAUNUCCCAAAGCCGUUCUCAGUUCGGAUUGGAGUCUGCAACUCGACUCCANGAAGUCGGAAUCGCUAGUAAUCGUCA
rnacentral:rRNA from 1 species